CUUUUUUGCUCCCCUGCUUAUAAGCGCCUCUACAUCUCGCGUUUGGUAAACCAGCUUCUCCUCUACUUUUUUCAGAAGCCAGCGCUGCUUCGAUGGAAAAGCCAAAGCCGCCAGUGACCUGCUUUUAGAAGCAGGAGAUGGCUUUUGUCACUAUAGCUAUACUUACUGUAGUUUAAUGAACUUUUGGAAAUACCGAUUUCUAUCCUCUCUUCGUUUCAGCAAUUUCACAAUGCCAUGAAACCCUUCUCUUCCUUGUUCAAGUUCGAAGUGUCGCUUCAUGACUCUGGUUUGAUCUCUCUCUCUCUCUGACUGCCUUCACCUCGCCUCUCAUCCGUGUUUGAAAUCAAAGCCUCAAUCCUUGAUUGCUGGCUGCUUGGCAAUUUGAUUCAUGGUACUUGAGCAUACUUGGGUUGGAUCAACACAGCAAGAGUUGCUGCAUUAGGUGGGGCUAGUAGUACAUCCAAGAGGGAAAGGAUUUAGUGCUUCUUAUCUUAAGAAGGUUGUGUAGGAAGUGAUUUCAAACUGUAGUGGAUAAGUUCUUUCACAACUAUUUUGUACCU
rnacentral:lncRNA from 1 species